rnacentral:rRNA from 1 species
AACGAACGCUGGCGGCAUGCCUAACACAUGCAAGUCGAACGAGACCUUCGGGUCUAGUGGCGCACGGGUGCGUAACACGUGGGAAUUUGCCUCGGGGUAUGGAAUAACUCAGGGAAACUUGAGCUAAUACCAUAUAAUGUCUUCGGACCAAAGAUUUAUCGCCCUGAGACAAGCCCGCGUAGGAUUAGCUAGUUGGUGGGGUAAAGGCUCACCAAGGCGACGAUCUUUAGCUGGUCUGAGAGGAUGAUCAGCCACACUGGGACUGAGACACGGCCCAGACUCCUACGGGAGGCAGCAGUGGGGAAUAUUGGACAAUGGGCGCAAGCCUGAUCCAGCCAUGCCGCGUGCAGGAUGACGGUCCUAUGGAUUGUAAACUGCUUUUAUACAGGAAGAAACACUCCGACGUGUCGGGGCUUGACGGUACUGUAAGAAUAAGGAUCGGCUAACUCCGUGCCAGCAGCCGCGGUAAAGUAGAACGU